GGAGGAGCCCAGAGCCUGAAUCAGUGUGUGUGUUAGUGGAAGCGUCUGGAAAGGCGCGCGAUACAGGGUGACAGCCCCGUACACAAAAAUGCACAUAUUGUGAGCUCGAUGAGUAGGGCGGGACACGUGGUAUCCUGUCUGAAUAUGGGGGGACCAUCCUCCAAGGCUAAAUACUCCUGACUGACCGAUAGUGAACCAGUACCGUGAGGGAAAGGCGAAAAGAACCCCGGCGAGGGGAGUGAAAAAGAACCUGAAACCGUGUACGUACAAGCAGUGGGAGCCUCUUAAUGGGGUGACUGCGUACCUUUUGUAUAAUGGGUCAGCGACUUAUAUUCUGUAGCAAGGUUAACCGAAUAGGGGAGCCGAAGGGAAACCGAGUCUUAACUGGGCGUUAAGUUGCAGGGUAUAGACCCGAAACCCGGUGAUCUAGCCAUGGGCAGGUUGAAGGUUGGGUAACACUAACUGGAGGACCGAACCGACUAAUGUUGAAAAAUUAGCGGAUGACUUGUGGCUGGGGGUGAAAGGCCAAUCAAACCGGGAGAUAGCUGGUUCUCCCCGAAAGCUAUUUAGGUAGCGCCUCGUGAAUUCAUCUCCGGGGGUAGAGCACUGUUUCGGCAAGGGGGUCAUCCCGACUUACCAACCCGAUGCAAACUGCGAAUACCGGAGAAUGUUAUCACGGGAGACACACGGCGGGUGCUAACGUCCGUCGUGAAGAGGGAAACAACCCAGACCGCCAGCUAAGGUCCCAAAGUCAUGGUUAAGUGGGAAACGAUGUGGGAAGGCCCAGACAGCCAGGAUGUUGGCUUAGAAGCAGCCAUCAUUUAAAGAAAGCGUAAUAGCUCACUGGUCGAGUCGGCCUGCGCGGAAGAUGUAACGGGGCUAAACCAUGCACCGAAGCUGCGGCAGCGACACUAUGUGUUGUUGGGUAGGGGAGCGUUCUGUAAGCCUGUGAAGGUGGCCUGUGAGGGUUGCUGGAGGUAUCAGAAGUGCGAAUGCUGACAUAAGUAACGAUAAAGCGGGUGAAAAGCCCGCUCGCCGGAAGACCAAGGGUUCCUGUCCAACGUUAAUCGGGGCAGGGUGAGUCGACCCCUAAGGCGAGGCCGAAAGGCGUAGUCGAUGGGAAACAGGUUAAUAUUCCUGUACUUGGUGUUACUGCGAAGGGGGGACGGAGAAGGCUAUGUUGGCCGGGCGACGGUUGUCCCGGUUUAAGCGUGUAGGCUGAUUUUCCAGGCAAAUCCGGAAAAUCAAGGCUGAGGCGUGAUGACGAGGCACUACGGUGCUGAAGCAACAAAUGCCCUGCUUCCAGGAAAAGCCUCUAAGCAUCAGGUAACAUCAAAUCGUACCCCAAACCGACACAGGUGGUCAGGUAGAGAAUACCAAGGCGCUUGAGAGAACUCGGGUGAAGGAACUAGGCAAAAUGGUGCCGUAACUUCGGGAGAAGGCACGCUGAUAUGUAGGUGAAGCGACUUGCUCGUGGAGCUGAAAUCAGUCGAAGAUACCAGCUGGCUGCAACUGUUUAUUAAAAACACAGCACUGUGCAAACACGAAAGUGGACGUAUACGGUGUGACGCCUGCCCGGUGCCGGAAGGUUAAUUGAUGGGGUUAGCGGUAACGCGAAGCUCUUGAUCGAAGCCCCGGUAAACGGCGGCCGUAACUAUAACGGUCCUAAGGUAGCGAAAUUCCUUGUCGGGUAAGUUCCGACCUGCACGAAUGGCGUAAUGAUGGCCAGGCUGUCUCCACCCGAGACUCAGUGAAAUUGAACUCGCUGUGAAGAUGCAGUGUACCCGCGGCAAGACGGAAAGACCCCGUGAACCUUUACUAUAGCUUGACACUGAACAUUGAGCCUUGAUGUGUAGGAUAGGUGGGAGGCUUUGAAGUGUGGACGCCAGUCUGCAUGGAGCCGACCUUGAAAUACCACCCUUUAAUGUUUGAUGUUCUAACGUUGGCCCGUAAUCCGGGUUGCGGACAGUGUCUGGUGGGUAGUUUGACUGGGGCGGUCUCCUCCUAAAGAGUAACGGAGGAGCACGAAGGUUGGCUAAUCCUGGUCGGACAUCAGGAGGUUAGUGCAAUGGCAUAAGCCAGCUUGACUGCGAGCGUGACGGCGCGAGCAGGUGCGAAAGCAGGUCAUAGUGAUCCGGUGGUUCUGAAUGGAAGGGCCAUCGCUCAACGGAUAAAAGGUACUCCGGGGAUAACAGGCUGAUACCGCCCAAGAGUUCAUAUCGACGGCGGUGUUUGGCACCUCGAUGUCGGCUCAUCACAUCCUGGGGCUGAAGUAGGUCCCAAGGGUAUGGCUGUUCGCCAUUUAAAGUGGUACGCGAGCUGGGUUUAGAACGUCGUGAGACAGUUCGGUCCCUAUCUGCCGUGGGCGCUGGAGAACUGAGGGGGGCUGCUCCUAGUACGAGAGGACCGGAGUGGACGCAUCACUGGUGUUCGGGUUGUCAUGCCAAUGGCACUGCCCGGUAGCUAAAUGCGGAAGAGAUAAGUGCUGAAAGCAUCUAAGCACGAAACUUGCCCCGAGAUGAGUUCUCCCUGAGACUUAGAGUCUCCUGAAGGAACGUUGAAGACGACGACGUUGAUAGGCCGGGUGUGUAAGCGCAGCGAUGCGUUGAGCUAACCGGUACUAAUGAACCGUGAGGCUUAACCUU
rnacentral:rRNA from 1 species